rnacentral:ncRNA from 2 species
CGCACACGUUAGGGGUGCCGCCUGGCGCAAGCUGGCGGCUGAGACACACCCUCAACACCUGAUCCGGAUCAUGCCGGCGUAGGGAAACGGGCAGCUCCACCU